AAUUAAGGGGAAAUCAGCUGAAUUAUUCCAAUUGAGGAAUGCACGGCAACAGUAAAAAUAUUUAUUUGCAAGUGGUAAUGAGAGUGGACACAUAUAAUUCUUGGCUGAUGGCAUGAAUAUUUAUUAAAACUAGUGAAAAGUAUUUGUUUAAAGUGUUAAAUUGUGUUUUUAUUUAGUUUAAAGUUGAAAUCGUUAAUAAAUGCAAAGAAAUAGUGUCGUGAAAGUCGUAGUGCGUUAAAAUCCUCCAAAGUACGGGAAUAUUGUGUAAAUUCCUUAAGUGCGUGUUCGGGUUUGUACGUGGGUGUGUAUAUGCGUGUAUGUAGGAAUGUAACAAGCUUCAUGCGUUCCGCGGUUGGCUUACGUCGCGUGUGUCGGAUAUUGAGUGCUACAAUGUUGUUAUAAAAAAGCACCUGGUGUAAUAUUGUCAAGGCAAGUUUAAAAAGGCUUAAUUAUAUUUGUAUGUGCCUUCGAAACUUUUUGCAUUUUCGUUAAUUAAUAAACUCUCGGAAGGAGAACUCAAAAGUGCAUUAAUUUAACGGAGAACGGUAACUGAAAAGUGUUGUACACGGCGUAUAAGUAACCUUUUGAAGUGUUGUGUGUAAAUUAUUAUUAUUAGUUUUUAGUGUAUACGAGUAUAGUGUAUAGUGUUGAGUGAAAUCGACUGCUGCCGCACGUCUUCAACAGUGGAGAGUUUUUGGAAAUCAUAUUUGUGCUAUGAGGCACUCAUCAAGGCAUAAAACAGACUAUUUCAACUGCGCGUUUGAAGUUGCUCCGAAUACAAUAGAGAGCGUGACAAGACAAGAGCGUAAACAAACCACAGCAGCUAGCCAUUCUAAACGCUUGACAAUCCACAGACAUAAUCCAGGUGACGACAUAUAAAUGAUCAGCAUGACCAGGGCAUAUAAAUUUUGAAUAGCUGUCGCUGAUAUCGGACCACUAUAGCAUAUUGCUGCCAUAUAAACUAAACACUCAAAUACAAGUGCUUGUAUGGAAAACUUUUUUACUACACCAGAUAUCCGCACGAAAUUUGGCAGGAAUCAUUGUGGGAAAAAGUUGUUUCCUGAGCAAUUCAACUAGCGGCGCUGAAAACGCGCUCGCGCUAAAUAAUCAGUGUAAGUAAAUGAAGGUUAUAGUUGAGCGCAAAUGAUGAUAUAAUGAAGGAUGCGAAAGUGAGUGUGCGGCGACAGGACGCAUAGUUAAUUCCUUAAGUUAGUGCUUGCGGCAGUCAAUGGCGACAGGUCGACAGGUGGAUCGUCGUCGGGUGGCCCGCCGCCGUUGACCCGCUUCUGCGGCGGAUAUGGACACGUCGAGGGCGAGCCCUGCUGCCGUCCCACGCCAUCGCCGCCAUUUUCGCGCGGAUCGCCCGUGGGACUUUGCGGCUGUUGGCCUUGCUGUUGUUGUUGCGCCACCGCCGCGGCCUUUAUUGGCAGCCUUCAAUGCUUGUAGCGAUUCACGUUUAAGUCUUCAAUUGGCUCCAAACGGUUUCCCCGGAGCGAUCGUCUGAGUGUGCUGAAUACCCAGAAGUCACCUGACGCCAAAAUCAGGCGAAUGCAGUGCUUGCGGUACGAUAUUGGUUGAAAUUUUGGCGAAAACUCACGAGGAAUCAAUGUAAUAUGAGACGUCGCAUUCUCGUAGUGCAAAAACCAAGAGCUGUCCGUCCAUAAUUCCGGUCGGUCGGUCGUAAGGAAUUCGGAGUACACCCACCUCGAUAAUCAAAGUAAACCGUCAACAAAACCUUGAAUUUUGGCCUUCUUUGGCUUGGUUUUUUCGGCGCGGCUCAGCUUUGCCACAAUAUUUGGCCGAUUGACCUUCUGUUUUCAGGUCGUAAGCAUAGAUCCAAGACUCAUUGCCAGUAACAGUACGUUCCAUGGCAUCCUGGCAGUCGGAAGGCAUUGUUUCACCAACGUUAACGCGACGCUGUUUUUCGAAAAAAUUGACCUCCGUCAACACAGUUUUGCUGGAACGGCUGGAACGACCGACCGAACUCACCUAACUCUGGAAAUUUGUUUCAAACUAAGGUACGAACCGAUAAAAAAAGAUGGGGCAUUAAAGGGAGCGAAGAGCGAACUAAGGAGAGCAUCUCUUGAAAAUUUAGAUUUAAAUAUUUAUAGCAUCUAAACCCAUCAAAACUGGACUGCCUAGUUGUCAAAAAUAAUUAUUAAACAGAAAGUUGGAUACUAUGAUCAAAAACUAACCGUUCAUGGACAAAAUGUUCCAAUUUAAAAGUUUUGGACUGGGAAUAAAUAGAGAGACGCUCGAAAAUCCUCCCACAACCCAUUUCAUCACCCCCAAUUAGGAGAAAAAAGCAUUUUGACGAUUUUCUCCUCAAAAAACGACGAUUGGAACACAUUUUUAUUUUUCUAAAUUUCUGUGUGAAUUCAAAUUAAAAAUUUCGUUAAUAAAAAUAUGCUCCAUGCGAUUCUGCAAA